UACGUAGGGUCCAAGCGUUAUCCGGAAUCACUGGGCGUAAAGCGUGCGUAGGCGGCGUGUUAAGUGAGAUGUUAAAUCGUGUGGCUCAACCAUAUCGGUGCAUCUCAUACUGGCAUGCUAGAGGAAGGCAGAGGCAAGUGGAAUUGGUAGUGUAGCAGUGAAAUGCGUAGAUAUUACCAGGAACACCAAUGGCGAAGGCAGCUUGCUGGGCCUUUUCUGGCGCUGAGGUACGAAAGCGUGGGGAGCGAACAGG
rnacentral:rRNA from 1 species